rnacentral:rRNA from 1 species
UACGAAGGUCCCAAGCGUUGUUCGGAAUCACUGGGCGUAAAGGGCGCGUAGGCGGCGUGGUAAGUCAGAUGUGAAAUCUCCUGGCUCAACUGGGAGCUUGCAGGCGAAACUGCCGUGCUGGAGUGUGGGAGAGGUGCGUGGAAUUCCUGGUGUAGCGGUGAAAUGCGUAGAUAUCAGGAGGAACACCUGUGGCGAAAGCGGCGCACUGGACCACAACUGACGCUGAGGCGCGAAAGCUAGGGGAGCAAACAGG